rnacentral:tRNA from 1 species
AUGGGUACUGCUCACGGGUAGAACGCUCGCUUUGCAUGCGAGAAGACAGGGGUUCAAUUCCCCAUACCUCUG